GAUGAACGCUGGCGGCGUGCCUAAUACAUGCGAGUCGAGCGAACAGACGAGGAGCUUGCUCCUCUGACGUUAGCGGCGGACGGGUGGGUAACACGUGGAUAACCUACCUAUAAGACUGGGGUAACUUCGGGAAACCGGAGCUAAUACCGGAUAAUAUAUUGAACCGCAUGGUUCAAUAGUGAAAGACGGUUUUGCUGUCACUUAUAGAUGGAUCCGCGCCGCAUUAGCUAGUUGGUAAGGUAACGGCUUACCAAGGCAACGAUGCGUAGCCGACCUGAGAGGGUGAUCGGCCACACUGGAACUGAGACACGGUCCAGACUCCUACGGGAGGCAGCAGUAGGGAAUCUUCCGCAAUGGGCGAAAGCCUGACGGAGCAACGCCGCGUGAGUGAUGAAGGUCUUCGGAUCGUAAAACUCUGUUAUUAGGGAAGAACAAAUGUGUAAGUAACUAUGCACGUCUUGACGGUACCUAAUCAGAAAGCCACGGCUAACUACGUG
rnacentral:rRNA from 1 species